AUGGGAGGCGUCCGUGAGCAGCCUGACUCACUUCCUUCAUCGCAAAGUCCGAGUCUUAUCGGCGGGAGCGAUGAGCUCGAGCUGCCCAGCUCGCCUUCCCCAAAGUACAUCUGCUUUAUCACGUUCUCCAUUUGCUUUCGGAUCUCCGAAACGCUAUUUUUUUUUUUUUUCCUCUCCAGGAGUUAUCUGAAGCCACACUGCCCUUACCUCCUGCUAUCUGCCCCCAGCACGCAUCCUGCCCCUAACCAGAGCCCCGUGCUCACCUCUCACCCCGCUGGAUGUGUCCUAGGGGGCGGCUCAGCCCCUGUUCCCCCAGGGGCACCCACCCUUUCUGGGGCUGGGACUGCCUGCCCCCCUGGGAGAGCUGUCCCCGCUGCACAGCCCCUGCUUCCUCUUUCUGUGCUGUGGCCUGCUGCUGGCUUCGGUUCCUGCUCGCUGGCUUUGCGGGCACUGCUCCCUCCCUGGGGUUUUCUCUCUGGGAUGCAGGGAGCUUUGAGGAUUUCCCCUUUGGAACCAGGAGCUGCAAGCUCUGGGCUUUGCUCCCUGCUUGACCCUCGUUUGCUGCAUCCAUCCCCAGCCCUGGCAAUGGAAAAACUCUCUCCAAAUUACUGCCCACCAGGGUGCUGCACGCUCUGCUUUCGUGCCAGCUGCAGGAAAGCGGCCGCGGUGCCCCGCAGCCACAGCAUGAGGCCCACUGAGAAGGUCCCCUCCAUCGCCAGCCGGUCUCUAGAGAAGUUCCUCUUCCCCUUUGCCUGUGUUUUUCUUUUUUUUUUGUUCCACCGCAGGGACUUUCUGCAGCAGGGUGGCUGUCUGGGGGAGGAACUGGCACAUCCUCCCAGCGUUUGCACAGGCCAGGAUCCCACUAAAGGCAGGUCUGCGCUGGGACCCCAAGGUGCUGUGGCCAGCCUGGUGCUGCCGGCUGGAAAAGCAGCGAAGGGACACGUUGUAGGUCUUGAGAAAACCUCCUCCCUUCUUCAAACCAAUAUUGGGGUCAGCCACAAUGCCCCGAUAGCCGUCAGGGGUUGCUCGUGGCCCCAAACAGCCCCAGGGAGGCUGGGAGCAAGGGGCUGA
rnacentral:lncRNA from 1 species